rnacentral:rRNA from 1 species
CGUGGGUAACCUGCCCAAUAGAUCGGGAUAACACCUGGAAACAGAUGCUAAUACCGGAUAACAAUAGAUGAUGCCUAUCAACUGUUUAAAAGAUGGUUCUGCUAUCACUCUUGGAUGGACCUGCGGUGCAUUAGCUAGUUGGUAGGGUAACGGCCUACCAAGGCGAUGACGCAUAGCCGAGUUGAGAGACUGAUCGGCCACAUUGGGACUGAGACACGGCCCAAACUCCUACGGGAGGCAGCAGCC